rnacentral:rRNA from 1 species
GAAUAUUGGUCAAUGGGCGAGAGCCUGAACCAGCCAAGUCGCGUGAAGGAAGACUGCCUUAUGGGUUGUAAACUUCUUUUAUACAGGAAUAAAAAGGCUUACGUGUAGGCCAUUGCAAGUACUGUAUGAAUAAGCAUCGGCUAACUCCGUGCCAGCAGCCGCGGUAAUACGGAGGAUGCGAGCGUUAUCCGGAUUUAUUGGGUUUAAAGGGUGCGCAGGCGGGCUUUUAAGUCAGCGGUGAAAUCUGGACGCUUAACGUCCAAACUGCCGUUGAAACUGGGAGUCUUGAGUAUGGAUGAAGUAGGCGGAAUUCGUUGUGUAGCGGUGACAUGCAUAGAUAUAACGAGGAACUCCGAUUGCGUAGGCAGCUUACUAAGCCAUAACUGACGCUCAUGCACGAAAGCGUGGGGAUCA